GAGGGUAAAACUCAGUGGUAGAGAGUGUGCUUAGCAUGCACUGGGUCCUGGGUUCAAUCCCUGGUACCGCCA
rnacentral:tRNA from 1 species